UACGGAGGGGACUAGCGUUGUUCGGAAUUACUGGGCGUAAAGCGCACGUAGGCGGAUAUUUAAGUCAGGGGUGAAAUCCCGGGGCUCAACCCCGGAACUGCCUUUGAUACUGGGUAUCUCGAGUCCGAGAGAGGUGAGUGGAAUUCCGAGUGUAGAGGUGAAAUUCGUAGAUAUUCGGAGGAACACCAGUGGCGAAGGCGGCUCACUGGCUCGGUACUGACGCUGAGGUGCGAAAAGCGUGGGGGAGCAAACAGGG
rnacentral:rRNA from 1 species